rnacentral:rRNA from 1 species
CCCCGGUCUAACCACCGGGAUUUUCAUAACCCUUUGUUGUCCGACUCUGUUGCCUCCGGGGCGACCCUGCCUUCGGGCGGGGGCUCCGGGUGGACACUUCAAACUCUUGCGUAACUUUGCAGUCUGAGUAAACUUAAUUAAUAAAUUAAAACUUUUAACAACGGAUCUCUUGGUUCUGGCAUCGAUGAAGAACGCAGCGAAAUGCGAUAAGUAAUGUGAAUUGCAGAAUUCAGUGAAUCAUCGAAUCUUUGAACGCACAUUGCGCCCCCUGGUAUUCCGGGGGGCAUGCCUGUUCGAGCGUCAUUUCACCACUCAAGCCUCGCUUGGUAUUGGGCAUCGCGGUCCGCCGCGUGCCUCAAAUCGACCGGCUGGGUCUUCUGUCCCCUAAGCGUUGUGGAAACUAUUCGCUAAAGGGUGUUCGGGAGGCUACGCCGUAAAACAACCCCAUUUCUAAGGUUGACCUCGGAUCAGGUAGGGAUACCCGCUGAACUUAAGCAUAUCAUUAAGCGGAGGAAA